rnacentral:rRNA from 1 species
AGAGUUUGAUCCUGGCUCAGAACGAACGCUUGCGGCGCGCCUAAUACAUGCAAGUCGAACGAGGUAGCAAUACCAAGUGGCGCACGGGUGAGUAACGCGUGGAUAAUCUGCCCUUCAGUGGGGAAUAACCAUCCGAAAGGAUGGCUAAUACCGCAUGAGACCACAGUUUCCGAGGAAACAGGGGUUAAAGAUUUAUCGCU